rnacentral:rRNA from 1 species
UACGAAGGGGGCUAGCGUUGUUCGGAGUUACUGGGCGUAAAGGGCGCGUAGGCGGCGCAUCAAGUCAGGCGUGAAAGCCCUGGGCUCAACCCGGGAAUUGCGCUUGAUACUGGUGUGCUUGAGUACGGGAGAGGAUAGUGGAAUUCCCAGUGUAGAGGUGAAAUUCGUAGAUAUUGGGAAGAACACCAGUGGCGAAGGCGGCUAUCUGGGCCUUACCUGACGCUGAGGAGCGAAAGCGUGGGGAGCGAACAGG